rnacentral:rRNA from 1 species
CAUGCAAGUCGAGCGGCAGCACGGGAGCUUGCUCCUGGUGGCGAGCGGCGGACGGGUGAGUAAUGCCUAGGAAUCUGCCUGAUAGUGGGGGAUAACGUUCGGAAACGGACGCUAAUACCGCAUACGUCCUACGGGAGAAAGUGGGGGACCUUCGGGCCUCACGCUAUCAGAUGAGCCUAGGUCGGAUUAGCUAGUUGGUGGGGUAAUGGCUCACCAAGGCGACGAUCCGUAACUGGUCUGAGAGGAUGAUCAGUCACACUGGAACUGAGACACGGUCCAGACUCCUACGGGAGGCAGCAGUGGGGAAUAUUGGACAAUGGGCGCAAGCCUGAUCCAGCCAUGCCGCGUGUGUGAAGAAGGUCUUCGGAUUGUAAAGCACUUUAAGUUGGGAGGAAGGGCUGUGCACGAAUACUGUGCAGUUUUGACGUUACCGACAGAAUAAGCACCGGCUAACUCUGUGCCAGCAGCCGCGGUAAUACAGAGGGUGCAAGCGUUAAUCGGAAUUACUGGGCGUAAAGCGCGCGUAGGUGGUUC